UGGUGCACCGGCAUCUGAUGAAGCUGCCAGCAUGAUCUAAUUAGCUUUCUUUAUCCUUUGUUGUGUUUCAUGACGAUGGUUAAGAGAUCAGUCUCGAUUAGAUCAUGUUCGCAGUUUCACCCGUUGACUGUCGCACCC
rnacentral:pre_miRNA from 1 species